AUUUGACAAGUACUACUAAAACAGCCUUUCUAUUUUAUCGGUGGCUAGUCAAUAUAACAAUUCUUCGCCGCCGCCGCUAGAAUCUAAUGCCGGCAACUCCAAAGCCUCUUCUCUUCCUUUCCCUCUUGCUACUCUCAUCUACUCUCUCCCACUCCUUCUUCUCCAACUAUUACAACCUAUUUUCUCUCUCUCACUCCCUCCUCUCCCGCGUCGCCGCCCAACGAACCUCCCGCGGCGAUGUAGAGGGGGCGGCCCGGGCACGGGCUCUGGCCCGCACCUUCGAACCGGGUGGCCUGGGAUUGUACAAGUCUGCUUGGAACUUUGGAUGGGAUUUUCUGAAGAAUUACGCGUGGAGCGACGCGGCGUCGUUUCAUGACAUUGGCGGCGUAGUAACCGAUUUGAAUGAAUUGUUAGGGAUUUUAAACGAGUUGAGUCGGAUUCGCUCCGACGCGGAGAGGCUCGCCUGGGCUGGUCGAAAUUACAAAAACGCCCUUAGGGUUUCGAAGUCGAUCUUCAAUCUACUGCUCAACGUUUUCCGUCGAUCUGGGCCAUUGCGGGAUAUAGUGCUGAGCCUUCAGAAAGAAGUGGUGGAGGGUGAUCUGCUUAGGGACUGCAUUGAGUUAGGCGCAGGUGACCUUAAGGGUUUGGUACAGAUUGUGAAGGACAUUGCACUCCAAUAUUUCCCUGCUGCUCCUAGGAAUGAACUGUAAAAGAUGCUUUGUGGGUGAUGCUUAGCGAUAUUUUUGCGGACAUUGGAUUUUGCAGUCUUCGGUGGAGAAGAAAGUUCGAUUUUUCUGGUGGUUCUAGGCUUUUGAAGAAUGAUUUGACUAGUGAAGGAUGUUUUCUAGAAUGCAGUGUUUCCCCUUCAUAACUGUAUAACCUUCUGGUCUUUGCCUGUCUGGAACAGAGGAAGACUGGAUGACAACUUUGCGAAAUUGAAUCCAGAUGACGAAGAAGAAGAUGGUAGAAUGAGUGAGCACAGCGUAUACUCUUUGAAUCCCGACAAUGCUUACCAGGUGCCCAUAUUGCAGAGAGCCGGGUGCCUGUUUGUUUCUAUACAGAUUGCUAUGUGCAUAAUACAUUAAGUUGUUCUAAAUAGAUUUCUAUGUAAAUCGCUUCUUGAAAGCUAGUCUGAUAUUCUGAAUGGUAGUGUAAUGAUCAUUUCACUGGCAUAGAAUAUUCCAUAUUUUCCUCA